GACGAACGCUGGCGGCGUGCUUAACACAUGCAAGUCGAACGGAAAGGCGCUGCUUUUGUGGGGUGCUCGAGUGGCGAACGGGUGAGUAACACGUGAGUAACCUGCCCUUGACGUUGUGAUAACUUCAGGAAACUGGGGCUAAUACCGGAUAGGAGCUCCUGCUGCAUGGUGGGGGUUGGAAAGUUUCGGCUGUUGUGGAUCGACGCGCGGCUUAUCAGCUGGUUGGUGGGGUAGUGGCUUACCAAGGGUUCGACGGGUAGCCCGCAUGAGAGGGUGAACGGGGUCCUGACGCCUACGAUACGCAGCAGUCUCCAACGGGAGGCAGCGGUGGGGAACCUUGCACAGUGGGGCGGCGCGUGAUAAGAAGAUGCUGGGAGCGUGAAGCAGGCUUUCGGGUUGUAAACCGCUUUAGCCUGUGACGAAGCGUGAGUGACGGUACCGGGUAAAGAAGCACCGGCUAACUACGUG
rnacentral:rRNA from 1 species